AACGAACGCUGGCGGCAUGCCUAACACAUGCAAGUCGAACGAGACCUUCGGGUCUAGUGGCGCACGGGUGCGUAACGCGUGGGAACCUGCCCUUAGGUUCGGAAUAACUCCCCGAAAGGGGUGCUAAUACCGGAUCAUGUCUUCGGACCAAAGAUUUAUCGCCUUUGGAUGGGCCCGCGUUGGAUUAGCUAGUUGGUAGGGUAAAAGCCUACCAAGGGGACGAUCCAUUGCUGGUCUGAGAGGAUGAUCAGCCACACUGGGACUGAGACACGGCCGAGACUCCUACGGGAGGCAGCAGUGGGGAAUAUUGGACAAUGGGGGAAAGCCUGAUGCAGCAAUGCCGCGUGAGUGAUGAAGGCCUUAGGGUUGUAAAGCUCGUUUACCCGGGAUGAUAAUGACAGUACCGGGAGAAUAAGCUCCGGCUAACUCCGUG
rnacentral:rRNA from 1 species